rnacentral:rRNA from 1 species
AGUGAACGCUGGCGGUAGGCCUAACACAUGCAAGUCGAACGGCAGCACAGGAGAGCUUGCUCUCUGGGUGGCGAGUGGCGGACGGGUGAGGAAUACAUCGGAAUCUACUCUGUCGUGGGGGAUAACGUAGGGAAACUUACGCUAAUACCGCAUACGACCUACGGGUGAAAGCAGGGGACCUUCGGGCCUUGCGCGAUUGAAUGAGCCGAUGUCGGAUUAGCUAGUUGGCGGGGUAAAGGCCCACCAAGGCGACGAUCCGUAGCUGGUCUGAGAGGAUGAUCAGCCACACUGGAACUGAGACACGGGCCAGACUCCUACGGGAGGCAGCAGUGGGGAAUAUUGGACAAUGGGCGCAAGCCUGAUCCAGCCAUACCGCGUGGGUGAAGAAGGCCUUCGGGUUGUAAAGCCCUUUUGUUGGGAAAGAAAUCCAGCUGGCUAAUACCCGGCUGGGAUGACGGUACCCAACGAAUAAGCACCGGCUAACUUCGUGCCAGCCGCCGCCGUAA